rnacentral:rRNA from 1 species
UACGUAGGUGGCAAGCGUUGUCCGGAUUUAUUGGGCGUAAAGGGAACGCAGGCGGUCUUUUAAGUCUGAUGUGAAAGCCUUCGGCUUAACCGGAGUAGUGCAUUGGAAACUGGGAGACUUGAGUGCAGAAGAGGAGAGUGGAACUCCAUGUGUAGCGGUGGAAUGCGUAGAUAUAUGGAAGAACACCAGUGGCGAAGGCGGCUCUCUGGUCUGCAACUGACGCUGAGGCUCGAAAGCAUGGGUAGCGAACAGG